rnacentral:rRNA from 1 species
CUCGUAGGCGGUUCGGUAAGUCGGGUGUGAAAUCUCCGUGCUCAACACGGAGCGGCCACCUGAUACUGCCGUGACUCGAGUCCGGUAGGGGAGUGUGGAAUUCCCGGUGUAGCGGUGAAAUGCGCAGAUAUCGGGAGGAACACCAGUAGCGAAGGCGGCACUCUGGGCCGUGACUGACGCUGAGGAGCGAAAGCGUGGUAGCAAACA